AUUGAACGCUGGCGGCAGGCCUAACACAUGCAAGUCGAACGAGAGGCGGACGGGUGAGCAAUGAAUGGGCAACUGACUGAUGGAGGGGGAUAACAACUGGAAACGGUAGCUAAUACCGCAUACCAUCGGAUGUGCCGAGGUGGGAUUAGCUAGUAGGUGGGGUAAAGGCACACCUAGGCGACGAUCCCUAGCUGGUGUGAGAGGAUGACCAGCCACACUGGAACUGAGACACGGUCCAGACUCCUACGGGAGGCAGCAGUGGGGAAUAUUGCACAAUGGGCGAAAGCCUGAUGCAGCCAUGCCGCGUGUGUGAAGAAGGCCUUCGGGUUGUAAAGUACUUUAAGCUGGGAGGCGUUACCCGCAGAAGAAGCACCGGCUAACUCCGUGCCAGCAGCCGCGGUAAUUC
rnacentral:rRNA from 1 species